rnacentral:sRNA from 1 species
UAUGAUAGCGAAUAAUGUGCGUAUCUA